rnacentral:rRNA from 1 species
UCGGGAAUAUUGCGCAAUGGAGGAAACUCUGACGCAGUGACGCCGCGUGCAGGAAGAAGGUUUUCGGAUUGUAAACUGCUUUAGACAGGGAAGAUAACGACAGUACCUGUAGAAUAAGCUCCGGCUAACUACGUGCCAGCAGCCGCGGUAAUACGUAGGGAGCAAGCGUUAUCCGGAUUUAUUGGGUGUAAAGGGUGCGUAGACGGGAAGGCAAGUUAGUUGUGAAAUCCCUCGGCUUAACUGAGGAACUGCAACUAAAACUAUCUUUCUUGAGUGUUGGAGAGGAAAGUGGAAUUCCUAGUGUAGCGGUGAAAUGCGUAGAUAUUAGGAGGAACACCAGUGGCGAAGGCGACUUUCUGGACAAUAACUGACGUUGGGGCACGAAAGUGUGGGGAGCAAACAGGAUUAGAUACC